rnacentral:rRNA from 1 species
AGUCGAGGGGCAGCGGGAGUGCUUGCACUCGCCGGCGACCGGCGCACGGGUGCGGAACGCGUAUCGAAUCUGCCUCUAUCUGGGGGAUACCCCAUGGAAACGUGGAAUAAUACCCCAUAGUAUUACUUUAUCGCAUGAUUUAGUAAUUAAAGAAUUUCGGAUAGAGAUGACGAUGCGUAUCAUUAGCUAGUAGGUAAGGUAACGGCUUACCUAGGCAACGAUGAUUAGGGGUCCUGAGAGGGAGAUCCCCCACACUGGUACUGAGACACGGACCAGACUCCUACGGGAGGCAGCAGUGAGGAAUAUUGGACAAUGGUCGAAAGACUGAUCCAGCCAUGCCGCGUGCAGGAUGACUGCCCUAUGGGUUGUAAACUGCUUUUAUACGGGAAGAAAAACACCUACGUGUAGGUGACUGACGGUACCGUAAGAAUAAGGACCGGCUAACUCCGUGCCAGCAGCCGCGGUAAUACGGAGGGUCCAAGCGUUAUCCGGAAUCAUUGGGUUUAAAGGGUCCGUAGGCGGGCUAUUAAGUCAGAGGUGAAAGUUUGCAGCUCAACUGUAAAAUUGCCUUUGAUACUGAUAGUCUUGAAUUGUAGUGAAGUGGUUAGAAUAUGUGGUGUAGCGGUGAAAUGCAUAGAUAUCACAUAGAAUACCGAUUGCGAAGGCAGAUCACUAACUAUAUAUUGACGCUGAGGGACGAAAGCGUGGGGAGCGAACGGGAUUAGAUACCCCGGUAGUCCACGCCGUAAACGAUGGAUACUAGCUGUUGGAUUUUUUCAGUGGCUAAGCGAAAGUGAUAAGUAUCCCACCUGGGGAGUACGUUCGCAAGA